rnacentral:rRNA from 1 species
CCCUUAGAUGUUCUGGGCCGCACGCGUACUACACUGAGUAAAUCAAUGGGUAAGGGAACACGAAAGUGCAACCUAAUCUUGAAAUUUGCUCGUGAUGGGGAUCGACGGUUGCAAUUUUCCGUCGUGAACGAGGAAUACCUUGUAGGCGCGUGUCAUCAUCACGCGCCGAAUACGUCCCUGCCCUUUGUACACACCGCCCGUCGCUACUACCGAUUGAAUGGCUUAGUGAGCCUUUGGGAUUGGCAGCUUGUACCGGCAACGGUAGCAGGCCGCUGAAAACUUAGGCAAACUUGGUCAUUUAGAGGAAGUAAAAGUCGUAACA